rnacentral:lncRNA from 1 species
CUACGGAAGGUGCACGGGCCGGCUAUAAAUAGAUGCCAUGACACCAUGCACCACACCCCGCAUCUCCUAGCCCCAGCUAGUAGAUCAUUGGACACAUAUCGAAACAGCUCUCUAGCUAGCGCGCUCGUCGUCUAACCUGGCUUCCGGCAUGGCUUCCAAGCAGAUCGGAGUCUUGACCUGCUUCAUUGCCAUCACCGCUCUCGCCUUCCGUCCCUGCGCAUCCGCCGUGCCCAUGGACGGCGGCUGGUCGAACGGCGGCGCCACCUGGUACGGCCCCGCCAAGGGCGCUGGAUCCGACG